CUGAAAGCCAGUAUCAAAAGCUUUGCUGAAGUCUAAAAAUAUUACAUCAACUGGCUUUCCUAGCUCAUAUAGGUGCAGAUGACAUGCUGGCAUGGCUUAACUGUUCAAAUGUUGCAUGACAUUGUUUGAAAGAUACGAAGGAAGCACAAGUCAUCUCAACUAGGAUGCUACAAAAGCAAAAGGACACACAACCAAGUGGCAAUUUUAAAGAAUACUUAUCCUCAGUAUUUUUCUAUUCCUGUUGAAGAAUAAUGAAAGAAAAAUAAAGGAAUAGUUAACAGUUAAA